rnacentral:misc_RNA from 1 species
GUGUGGUACAUAUUGCUCCAAUUGACAAGAAUUUCUUUUAUUUUUGACUCCAUCCGGAACAUAUUCCACUAUCCAGCAUUGAAUCUUACAAUUAGUAUUUCAACCCUUGCAUAAGUAAGGAAAGCAAAUACAAUGUAAAAACCUGGGCUUGCAAGGAAAUACAACGUAAGUAAUAUAUACAUGAAGUGUGGUGAUUGGCAUAUCAAAGAAUCUUAGUUCUCCUAAUUAUAGCUUUGAGAUCAAAGCUCAAUUCACAAUGCUAGAAGAAGCAUAGCAAAAAUAACGCAAAUGUGCCAGUACUCCAACAGUCACCACCCGCUACGUGGAUAGUCUGAUGCGCUUGCAUGUAUGGCUGGAAAAAACUCAUAGACAGCUCAGAGAUGAUGCUUACUGCUUCCCCCCUGGAUUCCAUUUUAUACUGCAACCAAUGCUGGGUUUUUGAGUUGAUGAAACUGGCUGGCCACUAAGUACACAAUCAAUCGCUAGGCUUAAGUCCCUUCCCGUGACAGGCAUAUUGUUACUUGGCCUUGAAUCAUCAAAUUGUCCAUGAUACACUAGCUCAAAGGGCCUUCUGCCAUCCUUUUUGAAUAGGAAAAAUUCUGGUGUACAAACAGCCACAAAAUCUCUUGCCACUUCUUGUGACUCAUCAUAAAGAUAAGGGAAAGGAUAUUUGAAGAACUUAGCAUCUUCAGCCAUGAAUUCAGGUCCAUCCUGUGGAUGUGUAACUACAGAGUUCGAAGAUAUUGCUACCACAGCAAGCCCUUUCUUCAUGUAGAAAUUUGAGAGUUUAACAAUAUCCUUCU